ensembl:lincRNA
AUGACCUGGCCUCCGAGGACAAACUCCAGGCGACCUUCAGCCACAAGCUGGCGGACCUGGCCUUUCUGCGUGUCUGAGGUGGCUUUUCUGCCCGUCCGAGGCAAUGCCAUCCCACCACAGCCGGAAAUACUCCUGCUCCACGGCGAUGAACCUGCGCUUCUUCUCAAGGGUCAGUUCUUCCACCACGGAGUUGUAGACAUUGGUGACAUAAACCUGCAUGCUCUCCUGGGGUGGGGAGGGGGAGAGACUGUCACUCCAGACCCGUGGGGGAAACCAGAGGGCAUGGACCAGGGACCGAGGAGGAACAUCCAGGGAGACAUGGUGUCCGGGGGCCACUGGCACUCCCCCCAAGCCUGUCCAGUCCCUGCAGUUGGCUCCCCCUUCUCCUCAAACAAGGGAGCCUGGUGUCCACUCUGUGAUGGACACACGGUGAGCCCUGCACUGAGACAAGGACCCGGGCGGACAACUUUUGAUGGGAGCCUGCCCCUGAGGAGAGUCAUGAGGAGACAGACACUCUACGUGACAGAGGGAUGUGACAGCCCAGCCAAGGCCCUGGGCCAGCCCAGUGGGGUGUGCUGACCACUCCUGCCUUGGAGGACAGACCAGUCGACAACAGGGCCCAAGGAGUGAGAUCCAGGAACCCUGAUGGGCCUUCUUGGGAUGAAAUGAUGGGGAAGCAUGUGUCAAGGGCUGAGGCUGAGAGAAGCUUAUCCUGUGAGUCAUCUCUCUGGAUUUAUUUCAUCCCCAGAAGCUGGGAGCCCCCAGGAUGGAGCUGAACAUGCUCCCAUCUGGGUCAGUCUGGUUCACCAUGGUGCCCGGAGAUGUUGAUAAAGGAAUGCAAGGAGCCCUGGGAGGGGGUGAGCGGGCAAGGCGGCGAUGUUUGCUGACUUGGGCAGCACCCCACCCUGGGCUUCAGUGUCCCAUCUCUAAACUGGGGGUGACGAGCAUGCUUCUCACACAUCAGCAGUUCCACAUGUAGGUGGGUGACCACCCACAGAGGCUGCCCAGUGAGCUGGAACGAGACUCAACCCUCAGCCUCAGGGCCUCUUGCUGCCCGACUCCCUUUAAAAUGAGCGACUCACUUAUUAACAUCUCAUGGAAAGUAUUGUAUCCACGAUCACAGAGUGGUCCUAUUCAUUUAUUUCCUUCCUCCUUCCAGAAAGAGCUUGUGCAGAUCUGGGUAUUCAUUUCCGUUACCUGCCCCAGAAACUUAUAAAAAUCAGUCUUUCCCUCUUUUCCUCUGCCCUGGUUCAUUCAUUCACUCAGUGGAAUUUCGAAGGACACCUUCCACGUGCUGUGGCUGGGGACACAUUCUCACCCCUGCCCACAGCCAGUCUACCUUAGUUGCUCUGUCGUGUCCGAAUCUUUGUGACCCCAUGGACUAUAGCCCACCACACUCCUCUGUCCUUGGGAUUCUCCAGGGAAGAAUACUGAUGUGGGUUACCAUUUCCUUCUUCAGGGGGUCUUCCUGGCCCAGGGAUCGAACCUGGGUCUCCUGCAUUGUAGGCAGAUUCUUUACUAUCUUAGCCACCAGGAAAGCCAACAUCCAGUCCAUAGCCAAGUACAGGUGGGCCCAAGGCCAAGUUCCCUGACAGCAGAGACCCAGGACACAAACCCACUCUGGAGUCCAGAUGGAAUAAGGACCGCAGCUUCAAGAGGUGUGCAGGGGUCACUCAGGGCACCUACCUGUACGGUGUGCAGCCAGCCCACGUCCAUGUGGCUGUGGGGAACCACAAAUACCCUCAGUCGGGGCUCAGAAAGAGCCCCCAGGGGCCACAUCAGGCCCAACCGCAGGAGCAGAGGUAGCCAGCCCCGUGGCUCCAUCUCCUCGGCCAGCGCCGGGGCUGGGGGGC